rnacentral:lncRNA from 1 species
AGCGGGUAACAUUUCGAGAAAUUCCGCCCAAAUUUUCACUAACAUUUCCACAGACUUCUCACUCUCCCACUUCGACUCUUCUCUCCCUACCCGUACGUGCUAACCUCUCUGUGACUAAUCACCUCUCUCAGUGCUAACCUCUCUGUCCACCUCCCUCUCGCCAGGACUUUCACUCUCUAGUACGUAAUUGGGAUUUGUAUUUCUAAUUAGGGCCAAUUGAAUUGGAGGCGGAGGCUUGAGAUCUUCAAUUAGGGCUUUGGUUCUUCAUUAAACUUCAUUUUCUUACACAUAAUCCCUUAAACUUCAUCUAACAUCUGUCUUACUCUUUAAUUUCAGGUGUUCUUUGUUGGGUUUGCACUUCAAGCGUAUUUUCAAUUAGGG